UAUGGAUAAACUUACGAAUGGAUGAAAAAAACAAUUGUUUCUUCAAUUGAAUCAUAAGAGAAUAAUCCACAAUAGUUGAUAAGUGUUGAAGGGAAAACAAGAAAAAUACUUGACAAAAAAGAUGAGGCAAUGUAUGUUCCUCCCAAUUUUUUUUAAAAAGAAGAUUGAGAGAUUAAAGGAUUAAAGAAGAUUCUCCAUAAAACACUAGAAGAUGCUAUUUAUACUUAACCCUAAUUAUGGAAAUAAAAUAACAAAAAUCAUAAAAUUCUUUGGAUUAGGUGAUGUCGUCGUUGGCGCCACGUCAAGGUUCCGACGCCUUAUCAUGGAUGGUAUCAGAAUUGCUCCAGUUGCCUUCAAAAUCUAUCUUAGGAUGAUGAUGUAGCUGACGCCGCGUUACUGAUAUGACAGUGUAUCACCAAUGUCGUCAGAUUUCUUCUUCAAGCUCAAUUCUCUGGUUUAAACUAACGCCCAUCGUGAUGCCUUAUCAGUACUUUGAUGCCAUGUCACCAAUGUCAUCAGAACUUUCUCUUAGACUUCAACUCUUUGGUUAGGUCUAACACCAAUGUUGAUAGCCUAUCACAAGGCUGAUGACUUUUCACAGUCAUCGUCAACCAUGUUUUCAGCUCUUUUUGCUCAGAUUUCACCUCUUUUGCUCCAUUGUUAUUUAUUUCCAUUCAUCUUGACUUUCCUACAAAAUAUUAAGAAAUAACAUCAAAAACACCAAUAAUUAUUUAAGAACUUACAAUUAUUUCAAGUAAAACAGUCUUAAAUGUGCUACAAAAAUCUAGCACAUCACACACCCCCAACCAAUUAGGGUAAAGUGUCCAUUCAUACCUUUAACAGCACCAAGAUAUUGGCCUAUGACCAUGUUUACUACAUCUUUAAGAGCAAGCAUCCUGGCUCUCAGGGCCUCAGAAAACCCUGGAUCCUUUCUUACUAAGUGAUUCCAAGAAGAUGCUUCAACCCCGUUAAGUUUUAGCUGACUAUCAUGGUCCAAUAAAGAUUUCCAAUUCCGUUUUGGAAUAUUUUCAUUCCUGAUUAGAACGACCUAUGUUUUAAGGGAGGAUAGAAGGUGAACCAGCUUCUUUGGGUGCCUCUCCCUUCUGGUCGAGUAGCUUUCGCUCCUUCCUACUUACUUUAUUAUAAUAUAAGCUUAAGCUGCUACGUGGACUAUUGGGAGAUUUUUAGUCAUAGUGGGAGCUUUCAAAAAUCACUUAGCAGGUCAAGAUCAUAGGAAGAGGGAACAACAAGGGAGAAGAUCUUAUUUAAAAGAAGACGAUUCCAAAAGAAAGUCAAAACGGGGAAUAGGAUGCCUUAACGGUAAAUAAGAAAGAUCCUAAAUAAAAAAUAAAAUACCUAUUAAAACGAUUAUAAGAAUACCACUUACAGUACCUAUUAUCCAAAGAGGAAUCCUUCCAGUAGUAUCAGCCAUUUACCCCACUUCCCUCCAGAUUUCACAAGUGGUCAUGCUAGAGACAUAAACAGACUUGGAUAAUUGAAUUAUGAGAUCCUUCUGAAUGAGCUAAGAGAAUUUUAUUUAUUCUUUUUCAUUUUGUUAAUUGAAGAAAUAAUUGAAAAAUCAAAAAGCAAGUACAAAAAUGAGUAAUAACCCCCAGUAGAGACUGGUACGAUGAAAUUCAACAUUUUGUUCGUUCGGGUUUGAUUGUGUCAUAGCUCUAUAAUUUGGAUGUUCUUUAUCAUUGGAUGAACUGAUGAUAUUGAUCUCCUAAAAAAGAUAGUAGGUAUAGCCAGGUCGUGAAUAGCCAACCAUCGUACUGAAAAAAUUGGAUAGGUUUGAUCUAUAGUCAUUAGGGCCUCCUAAAAUGAUCUACUACAUUCCUCGAGUUAUUCUAAAGGAUCAAAAUGGACAAUUAUUAAUCGAAUUCCUUGUCGGGUAAGUUCCAACCUGCACAAAAAGAGUAAUGAUCUGGGCCCUGUCUCGGAGAGAGGCUCGGAGAAAUAGACAUGUCUAUGAAGAUGUGCACUACCUACACCUGGACAGAAACUACCUGCACCUGGACAGAAAGACCUUAUGAAGCUUCACUAUUCCCUGGGAUUGGCUUUGGUCCUUUCCUGCGUAACUUAGGUGGAAGGCAAAGAAGGCCUCUUUCCGGGGGGCUCAAGCCAUCAGUGAGAUACCACUAUGGAAGGGCUAGAAUUCUAACCUUGUGUCAGGACCUACGGGCCAAGGAACAGUCUCAAGUAGAUAGUUUCUAUGGGACGUAGGCAUCCCAAAAGGUAACGGAGGCGUGAAAAGGUUUCCUCGGGCCGAAUGGAGAUUGUCCCUCGAGUGUGUAGGUAGAAGGGAGCUUAACUGUAAGACCCACCCCAUCGAACAGAAAUGAAAGUCGGCCUUAGUGAUCUGAUGGUACCGAGUGGAAAAGCCGUAAAUCAAUGGAGAAAAGUUACUCUAAGGAUUAAAAGCUGAUCUUCCCCAAGAAGUCACAUCAAUGGGAAGGUUUGGCACCUCGAUGUCAGCUCUUCAUCACCUGGAGAUAUAUAUGUUCUAAGGGUUGGGCUGUUCGCCCAUUAAAGCGGUAUGUGAGCUGGGUUCAAAACAUCGUAAGAUAGUUCGUUCCAUAUUUGGUAUGGUCGUUAGAGAAUUGAGAGGAUCUUUCCCUAGUACGAGAGGACCGGGAAGGACGUACCUCUGGUGUACCAGUUAUCAUGCCCACGGUAAACGCUGGGUAGCUAAGUGCAGAGCGGAUAACUGUUGAAAGCAUCUAAGUAAUAAGCCCACCCCAAGAUGAGUACUCUCCUAUUCCGACUUCCCCAUAGCUUCCGGUAGCACAGCCGAGAUAGCGACGGGUUCUCUUCCCUUGCGGGGAUGGAGCGACAGAAGUUUUUUUGAGAAUUCAAGAGAAGGUCACAGCGAGAUGAGCCAUUUAUCAUUACGAUAGGUGUCAAGUGGAAGUGUAGUGAUGUAUGUAGCUGAGGCAUCCUAAUAGACCGGUAGACUUGAAC
rnacentral:rRNA from 1 species